CAGCCUGGCCAGUGAGGAUGAGGAGGAGUAUGAGAGUGGAUAUGCUUUCCUCCCGGACCUUCUCAUCUUUCAAAUGGUCAUCAUCUGCCUUAUGUGUGUGCACAGCUUGGAGAGAGCAGGAUCCAAGCAGUACAGUGCAGCCAUUGCCUUCACCCUGGCCCUCUUUUCCCACCUCGUCAAUCAUGUCAACAUACGGCUGCAGGCUGAGCUGGAAGAGGGCGAGAAUCCCGUCCCGGCAUUCCAGAGUGAUGGCACAGGUGGGAGAAUGGGGGAGGUCAUCACUAUGGAAAGAUGAACCAGAGUCCAAGGAACCUCUGGAGAAAGAGGAGGAGCCAGAUCCUGAGCCUCCUCCUGUAGCACCCCAAGUGGGUGAGGGCAGAAAGAGCCGUAAGUUCUCUCGCCUCUCCUGUCUCCGCCGUCGCCGCCACCCACCCAAAGUUGGUGAUGACAGUGACCUGAGUGAAGGCUUUGAAUCGGACUCAAGCCAUGACUCAGCCCGGGCCAGUGAGGGCUCAGACAGUGGCUCUGACAAGAG
rnacentral:sRNA from 1 species